rnacentral:rRNA from 1 species
GAAAGGGCGCACGGUGGAUGCCUUGACACUAGGAGUCGAUGAAGGACGGGACUAACGCCGAUAUGCUUCGGGGAGCUGUAAGUAAGCUUUGAUCCGAAGAUUUCCGAAUGGGGAAACCCACCAUACGUAAUGGUAUGGUAUCCUUAUCUGAAUACAUAGGGUAAGGAAGACAGACCCAGGGAACUGAAACAUCUAAGUACCUGGAGGAAGAGAAAGCAAAUGCGAUUUCCUGAGUAGCGGCGAGCGAAACGGAACAUAGCCCAAACCAAGAGGCUUGCCUCUUGGGGUUGUAGGACAUUCUAUACGGAGUUACCAAAGGAACGAGGUAGACGAAGCGACCUGGAAAGGUCCGUCGUAGAGGGUAACAACCCCGUAGUCGAAACUUCGUUCUCUCUUGAAUGUAUCCUGAGUACGGCGGAACACGUGAAAUUCCGUCGGAAUCUGGGAGGACCAUCUCCCAAGGCUAAAUACUCCCUAGUGAUCGAUAGUGAACCAGUACCGUGAGGGAAAGGUGAAAAGCACCCCGGAAGGGGAGUGAAAGAGAUCCUGAAACCGUGUGCCUACAAAUAGUCAGAGCCCGUUAACGGGUGAUGGCGUGCCUUUUGUAGAAUGAACCGGCGAGUUACGAUCCCGUGCGAGGUUAAGCUGAAGAGGCGGAGCCGCAGCGAAAGCGAGUCUGAAUAGGGCGUUUAGUACGUGGUCGUAGACCCGAAACCAGGUGAUCUACCCAUGUCCAGGGUGAAGUUCAGGUAACACUGAAUGGAGGCCCGAACCCACGCACGUUGAAAAGUGCGGGGAUGAGGUGUGGGUAGCGGAGAAAUUCCAAUCGAACCUGGAGAUAGCUGGUUCUCCCCGAAAUAGCUUUAGGGCUAGCCUUAAGUGUAAGAGUCUUGGAGGAGUAGAGCACUGAUUGGACUAGGGGUCCUCAUCGGAUUACCGAAUUCAGUCAAACUCCGAAUGCCAAUGACUUAUCCUUAGGAGUCAGACUGCGAGUGAUAAGAUCCGUAGUCAACAAGGGAAACAGCCCAGACCGCCAGCUAAGCGUCCCCUAAAAGUGUGUAUUGAACGUGGGAAAAGGAUGUGGAGUUUGCUUAGAAAACUAGGAUGUUGGCUUAGAAGCAGCGCACCAUUUUAAAGAGUGCGUAAUAGCUCACUAGUCGAGUGACUCUUCUGCGCCGAAAUGUAACCGGGGCUAAAUAUCACCACCCGCGAACGCUGCGGCAUUGAUACCAACUGGGUAUCAGUGGUAGGGGAAGCGGUUCUAAGGACAGUGAAGUCAGACCCGGAAGGACUGUUGGGAGUGCUUAGCAACGUGAGGAUGCCGGCGUAUGGAGUAGCGAAGAACGGGUGAGAAUCCCGUCCACCGAAUGCCUAAGGUUUCCCUGAGGAAGGCUCGUCCGCUCAGGGUUAGUCAGGAACCUAAGCCCGAGGAGGCCGACAGGCGUAGGGCGAUGGACAACAGGUUGAUAUUCCUGUACCGACUGUCUUUAUCGGUCUUGAGCAAUUGAGGGACGCAGAAGGAUUAGAAGCAAGCGUUGCGAUUGGUUGGUGCACGUCCAACUGCAGUUUAGGUUCUGAUAAGUAGGCAAAUCCGCUUAUCGUGAAGGCUGAGCUGGUGAUUGGGGAAGGUGUCCUUAAUGGAGCGAAGUCUUUGAUUCCCCGCUGCCAAGAAAAGCUUCUAGCGAUGAUACAAAGGUGCCUGUACCGCAAACCGACACAGGUAGGCGAGGAGAGAGAAUCCUCAGUGUGGCGAGAGAAACUCUGGUUAAGGAACUCGUCGGGCAGAAAAUGACCCCCCGUAACUUCGGGUGAGAAGGGUGCUUUCUUAACGGAAAGCCGUCAAGUGAAUAGGGCCAAGCGACUGUUUAGCAAAAACACAGCUCUCUGCGAGCCGCUAGUAAGGCGUAAGUAUAGGGGCUGGACACUCUCGCCCCGGUGCCUGGAAACAGGUUAGGUAGAGGAGAGAGGGUUAGCGCUACAGCGAAGCUCUUAACUGGGAGCCCCAGUACAACGGCGGCGCCGCUCAACUAUAACGGUCGCUUAUAGGUAGCGAAAUUCCCUUGUCGGGGUAAGGAUUCCGACCCCGCACAGAAACGGUUGUAAACGAUUUGGGCCACUGUCUCAACCAGAGACUCGCGUGAAAUUAUCAGUACCCUGUCGAAUGAUGCAGGUUACCCGCGACAGGACGGAAAGACCCCGUUGAGCUUUACUGUAGCCUGAUAUUGAAUUUUGUUACACGUUUGUAGCAGGAUUAGGCGGGAGCCCUUUGCAAACCGGAGCGGCUAGCUUUCGGUUGGAGGCCGCUGGUGGGAUUACCCCGGGCCCCCCCCCCCCUGACUGUAUUGAAAUUCUAACGCUACGGUUCUUAAUCGAACCGGCGAGAACAGUGUUCAGGUGGGCAGUUUGACCUGGUCGGGGUCCGCGCAUUCUAACAGGUCGGUAACGCUAACCGGAGGGCGCCCAAAGGUUUCCUCAGAAUGGUUUGGAAUCAUUCGUAGAGUGCAAGAGGCAUAAGGGAGCUUGACUGCGAGACCUACAAGUCGAGCAGGGACGAAAGUCGGGCUUAGUGAUCCGGUUGGGUUCUCCGCAUGGAAGGGCCAUCGCCUCAACGGAUAAAAGCUACCCCGGGGAUAACAGGCCUUUAUCUCCCAAGAGUCCACAUUGCGACGGGGAGGUUUGGCACCUCGAUGUCGGCUCAUUCGCAUCCUGGGGCUGUUAGUCGGUCCCCACAGGGUUGGGCUGGUUCGCCCAUUAAAGCGGUACGCGAGCUGGGUUUCAGAACGUCGUGAGACAGUUCGGUCCCUAUCCGUCGUGGGCGUAGGAAAUUUUGAGAGGAGCCUGUCCUUAGUACGAUGAGGACCGGGGAUGGACGCACCGGCUGGUGUACCCAGUUGUUUCUGCCCAAGUGGGCGCAUAGCUGGGUAGCUAUGUGCGGAAGGGAUAAGUGCUGAAAGCAUCUAAGGCAUGAAGCCCCCCCUCAACGAUGAGAUUUCCCAUAGCGUAAGCUAGUAAGAUCCCUGAAAGAUGAUCAGGUUGAUAGGUUCGAGGUGGAAGCAUGGUGACAUGUGGAGCUGACGAAUACUAAUAGAUCGAGGACUUAACC